rnacentral:rRNA from 1 species
UAGGGAAUCUUCCACAAUGGGCGAAAGCCUGAUGGAGCAACGCCGCGUGUGUGAUGAAGGGUUUCGGCUCGUAAAACACUGUUGUAAGAGAAGAAUGACAUUGAGAGUAACUGUUCAAUGUGUGACGGUAUCUUACCAGAAAGGAACGGCUAAAUGCGUGCCAA